rnacentral:rRNA from 1 species
UUUAACUGAGCGUUCAGUUACUUGACGUAGACCCGAAACCGGGCGACCUACCCAUGAGCAGGAUGAAGCGAAAGUAAAAUUUCGUGGAGGUCCGAACCCACGAGCGUUGAAAAGCUCGGGGAUGACUUGUGGGUAGCGGUGAAAUUCCAAUCGAGCCCGGAGAUAGCUGGUUCUCCCCGAAAUAGCUUUAGGGCUAGCCUCAAGGUGAGAGAUACGGAGGUAGAGCACUGAAUGUCCUAGGGGGUAUUGCACCUACCGAAGACUAUCAAACUCCGAAUGCCGUCAUCUUAUACUUGGGAGUCAGACUGUGGGUGAUAAGAUUCAUAGUCGAAAGGGCAACAGCCCAGAUCGUCAGCUAAGGUCCCUAAAUGUAAGUUAAGUGGUAAAGGAUGUGGGAUUGCACAGACAACCAGGAUGUUGGCUUAGAAGCAGCCACUCAUUCAAAGAGUGCGUAAUAGCUCACUGGUCGAGUGAUCCUGCGCCGAAGAUUUCCGGGGCUAAAACUUACUACCGAAGCUACGGCAUCAGUAAUGAUGGGUAGGGGAGCUUCCCAUACGGGUUGAAGCAUGACCGUAAGGACAUGUGGACAGUAUGGGAGUGAGAAUGUUGGCAUGAGUAGCGAGAUGUGGGUGAGAAUCCCACAGGCCGUAAACCCAAGGUUUCCAGGGGAAGGUUCGUCCGCCCUGGGUUAGUCGGGACCUAAGCUGAGGCCGAAAGGCGUAGGUGAUGGACAACAGGUUGAUAUUCCUGUACUACCGAUAACCGUUUGAGAGAAGGGAUGACACAGUAGGAUAAGCUAAGCACACUGUUGGUUAUGUGUGCCCAAGCAUUGAGGCAGUCAAAGUAGGCAAAUCCGCUUUGAUAAUGCUGGGAUGUGAUGGGGAGCGAAAUUUAGUAGCGAAGUAGCUGAUUUCACACUGUCAAGAAAAGUCUCUAUCGAGGUUAAAGGUACCCGUACCGCAAACCGACACAGGUGGGUGAGGAGAGUAUCCUAAGGCCAGCGAGAGAACUGUUGUUAAGGAACUCGGCAAAAUGACCCCGUAACUUAGGGAUAAGGGGUGCCACCAUCAGGUGGCCGCAGAGAAUAGGCCCAAGCGACUGUUUACCAAAAACAUAGGUUUCUGCUAAGUCGCAAGACGAUGUAUAGGAGCUGACGCCUGCCCGGUGCUGGAAGGUUAAGGGGAUCUGUUAGAGCAAUCGAAGCAGUGAACUUAAGCCCCAGUAAACGGCGGCCGUAACUAUAACGGUCCUAAGGUAGCGAAAUUCCUUGUCGGGUAAGUUCCGACCCGCACGAAAGGCGUAACGAUUUGGGCACUGUCUCAACAACAGACUCGGUGAAAUUGUAAUUCCGGUGAAGAUGCCGGAUACCUGCGACAGGACGGAAAGACCCCAUGGAGCUU